UCUCUCUCUCUCUCUCUCUCUCUCUCUCUCUCUGUCUCUGUGUGUGUGUGUGUGUGUGUGUGUGUGUGAGAGAGAGAGAGAGAGAGAGAGAGAGAGAGAGAGAGAGAGG
rnacentral:miRNA from 1 species